rfam:Cavia porcellus supercont2_108 genomic scaffold, whole genome shotgun sequence.
GGAGGGAAGCUCAUUGGUGGGGCUACGAGCUGAAUGCGUGAUGUCACGUGUCACUCUGUAGCAUGUCCCUUGGGAAGAUGUGAGACUUGGGCCAAUGGCAGCCCUAACAGGGCCCUCCCUGAACAGGAGGUGAGUUCCCAGAGAGGGGCUCCGCGUGCGAGGGCAGACUGGGCAGAAGUUCAGUCAGUGCUGGGCUUGUACCAGGCUUUGGGGCUGUGGAGAUUGCAGCAUCCAGGGAAGGUCUUGGAGGUUCU